GCACAAGCGGGGGGGCAUGUGGUUUAAUUUGAUGCAACGCGAAGAACCUUCCCUGGGCUAGAAUGCUUCUGACCGGCCUAGAGAUAGGCCUUCCUGGGCAAAACCAGGCAGAGUGCAAGGGGUGCCAGGGCGUUGUUCAGCUCGUUUCUGGAGAGUUGGGGUUAAUUCCCCCAACGAGCGCACCCCUUUUCAAUAGUUCCCAGCGGUUCGGCCGGGCACUCUAAUGAGACUGCCGGUGACAAACCGGAGGAAGGUGGGGAUGACGUCAAGUCCUCAUGGCCUUUAUGUCCAGGGCUACACACGUGCUACAAUGGCCGGUACAAAGGGUUGCAAACCCGCAAGGGGGAGCCAAUCGCAAAAAACCGGUCUCAGUUCGGAUUGGAGUCUGCAACUCGACUCCAUGAAGCUGAAUCGCUAGUAUCGC
rnacentral:rRNA from 1 species